UUCCACUCAUGAUCCAUUAUUCUUGUACGCCAAAAAAUGUUUAGUCUUGCAUUUUUGGCCCACGCCAGUUUUGUCUAGAGCAUCCACAUCCACCAAACUAGUGUGAUGACCAAAUUUCAAGCAUGACUUUGCAGGCAAUCACAUAUUCUAAUUAGAGUUUAAUUAAAAGAAGAGGAACAUACACUUAUAUAACGAAAUAAAUAAUACAGAAAUAGAAAGUGACUAAACGGAAGUAGCGGAAAUGACCAUGUCAAAUGAAGCUCUAAUAAUAGUGAAAAUGAUUACUGCAAGCCAUAUGACCCAUGUCAUCCUAAACAAGUAUUUUUCAAAGACCAGUGACACAAGAUCCAAAGGUAAAAAAGAAGCCUUAUGGAGAAUGGUGGGUUAAUUACUAGAAUUUGAUACAAUGACUACAUGUGAAAUAAUUGGACUAAAAGAUGUGCAAGAGAGGAUCUUCAUCAACCAUGUUACAAGAAUUACAUAUGAUGUUGACAACUAACAACCAGUGCCAACCCAGAGAAGAAAAAAAAAGUUUAUGCUUUAAUACUAUUCCUAGGUAAGACAUUUUGAAGUAUGUGUUUCCCAUAAUUUCUGCUUUUACUGUAAUAAAAACUCAAUUUAAAUAACAUGAUCAUCACAAGGUUAAGAGAAGUGUCAAAGGUGAUUCAAUGAUAUUAUCAAUAGCAAGUUUUUUCUAAAUAAUUUACAAUUUUUUUAGACAAUUCCAUGAGAAAGAUAUAGUAAAGUUUUAAUAAAGCCACAAAGCGUGUAAUCCGCUUUAUAUAUCAAUAUAGAUAAUCUGAACAAUACAAAAUACCUUAGCAGCAGUCUCAAUAAUGCAAAGCCAGUUAAAAUGUGAGAAGUAGUAGUCUCAACAAUGCAAAACCAAUCAAAAUGUCAGAAGUAUAAAGUGCAGAUCCUAGGAAUCCUUUACCUGCAACCAUCAAUACUGAAUGUGACUUUUAAUCUCCAGAGAUACUUAUAACUGACUAACCAAGUCAGUUAGGUAACUGAUAACACCCUACUAUAGUUACUGCAAGAGUUUGAUUUGAUACAAAGGAGACACACACUCACCUCUUCUCAUACUCAUUCUAUACAAGGGUCAAGAAUUCAUUCAGAACAAAACAAAUUUGUGAGCAUAUCUUUCUCUCUUUUUCAACACAAUGAAAAUAGAUUACAAAGAAAAAGUAAUUGAAACAAGGUCUGAUUAAUAAGAAUCAUAAAACAGUGUGAAAUAACAAAAAAGUUAAAGCAAAAAUUAUUCUAGUUCUCUGAUAGACACAUUUGUUUUUAAAUUUAGUCCUUCACAAGUCUAGUUUUAGCAAUUAAAUUCUAUAAAGUUUUGAUUUAGUUCUAGCAUACUUUUAUUAUGGUGUAUGAAAAAUGGCACAGAAGAACUAAAGCAUCAAAGGAUUCACUUGAUAAACCACCAGCACAUGAUAAGCUAAGGAACUAUUAUUUUACUUUAGAUUGAAAUAUAUCAUAUUAAAAGAAAAGAAAAGAAGAAUAGGAUAGUUGAGUGAGCUCUCUAAAUUACAAUUAUUUAAGUAACUGUUUAAGUCAUUUCACAAGUAACCGAGACCAUAGCUCUAUAUUCUACUUCUGCACUAGAUCUCACCACAACACUUUGUUUCUUGCUCUUCCAAGAGAUCAAGUUAUCACCAAUGGAGAUACAAUAGUUGAUCUUCUAUCAGAUGAAGAUCUACCUAAUUAGCAUCUUAAUAACAAACGACUUUAGUAUGGUUCUUUUGACCAUACAACAAACCUUUUCUAGGAGAGUCUUUAAUGUACUUCAGUUACAAAUGACAACAUUCCAAUGGUCUUCACAUGGAGAAUUAAGAAAUUGACUCACCACACUGACUGCAAAGGAAAUAUCAAGACGAGUAACUGUGAAAUAGUUCAAUUUUCCAAUUAAUCUUUUGUACUUCUCAGGAUCUGAAAGAGGCUCCCCCUGAUUGGGUAGAAGUUUGACAUUGUGAUCCAUGGGAGUAUCAAUAGAUUUCAAAUUCAUCAACCCAAUUUACUCCAAAAUAUCCAAUGCAUAUUUUCUUAGAGAGAUAACAAUACCAGUAUUGGAUUGUGCUACCUCAAUCCCCAAGAAAUAUCUGAGUUUGCCAAGAUCAUUGGUCUGAAAGUGUUGACAAAGGUAUUGUUUUACUUGUGAGAUGCCAUGAUGAUCACUUCUUUAAAGAACAAUGUCAUCAACAUAUACUACAAGAUAGAUACACCCAUCACUUGAGUGACGAUAAAAAACUAAAUCUCCUUCACUGCAAGUCAUACCAAAUUGUUGAACAACAUUGCUAAAUUUUCCAAACCAAGCCCUAGGAGACUGCUUGAGGCAAUAUAAGGAUUUGCAAAGACGACAUACCAAUCCAGAAGACUCCCCUGAUAAAAAAACCGGAAGGUUGCUCCAUAUAAAUUUCUUCAUGCAAAUCCCCAUUAAGAAAGGCAUUCUGAACAUCCAGUUGAUAAAGAGGUCAUCGUUUAAGAGCAACCAUGGCUAUGAAUAAGCGAACAUAAGCCAUCUUUGCCACUGGAGAAAAAGUAUCACUAGUCUAAACCAAAAAUUUCAAGACGAGCUUUGAGACGAUCAAUAGUACCAUCAAGACCAACUUUGAUAGCAAAAAUCCACCUGCAACCAACAACAAAUUUCCUAGAAGGUAAAGGAACAAGUUUCGAAGUUCCAUUAUUCGUAAGCAUGUUCAUUUCAUCAAGCAUGGCCUGACGCUAAGAAGAAAUAGACGAAAGGCAAGUAUAAAAAGAUUGAGAUAGUCCAUGGUAACUCAAAGCAGUAUAAUGUGGGUAGAACGUAUAUCUUUACGGAUGGCAAUAGGAAGAUCAGGUUCAACUAUCGGAGCCAGAGGGGGUGGAGGUGUUGGCACUAGUAGAGAGUCAACUAAUGAACGAUGGGACGUCUGACGACGACUAUUCACCUAAAGAGUUGGUGGAGGUGGUGAAUCUUUAGGUGCAUUAGGAACAAGGGGAAUAUUAACUUUGAUUAGAUGAAAACACAUACGGACAAGGACAACACUUAAAGUAAAGGGAAGACUCACUGAAGAUAACAUCAACUGAAAUAAAAUAACGGUUAACAGAAGGUGAGAAACAUUUAUAUCCCUUUUGUAAUCUAGUGAACCCUAGAAAGAAACAUUUGUGUGACCUAGGAGAUAAUUUAUCAAGAUCAGAACUAAAAUGAUGAACAAAGCAUAUGGACCUAAAAACUUUGGGAGGUAAGGGCUGGAGAGGGUCAUGUGGAAAUAAAAUAGAAUGAGGAAUUUUAUCCUCUAAAACAAAAGAUGGCAUGCGAUUAAUGAGAUAACAUGCACUAAGAACAACAUCCCCCCAAAAACGCUGAGGAACAUCACCAUGGAUUAAAAUAAUACGAGUUGUUUCAGUUACCCUAUUUUGUUGAGUUGUAUAAGCACAUAAAGUUUGAUGAAGAAUACCAUGAAAAGCAAUAAAAAUUUAAAAAAAAUGAGAAAGAUACUAACGUCCGUUAUCAUUGCACAAAAUUCGAAUGGAAAUUCCAAAUUGAUUUUUAAUUUUAUUGUAAAAGAUUUGAAAUAUCGAAAACAACUCAGAAUGAUUUUUCAUUAAAAGCACUCAAGUACAUCUUGAAUAAUCAUUAAUAAAAGUAACAAAAUACUAAAAUCUUAAAUUAGACUUCAUACGACUUGAUCCCCAAAUGUCAGAGUGAACUAAGGCAAAAGGAGAUGAAACAUGUUGUGAGACACUACUAGGAAAAGAACUACGACUAAUAUGAUAUGUGGCAUCCGAAUCUAGAACCCAAGGACCAAGGAAAUUAGAAUGGGUAAGGCCAAUAAAAGAUGUACCUGAAUGUGCAACAAAAGCAGUAGAACCAAUGUUCUGGCGAUCUUUUAGGGUUUAGGAUUUAAGAUUUAAGGUUUUUAGGAUUUAGGGUUUAGGGUUUACUCAGAUAUUCUGUCAUUGUACCAUCAAGAUGUUUGGGAGCAACAACUAUGAGGAGAUUUUGACACACCAUAAAGACGUGGGAAAAAUUGAAAAAAAAAGAUUUUUUUUUCAAUGAUUCAAUUUUCAAUCGAUUUGUAAAUAACAAACGGAUUACGAGUCAUUUGUGUCGAUCUCACUAAAUUCGAUAACAAUAUACAUAUCAAUAUAUGCAAAAAUAUGUUUUUUUCAUUUACAACGUAUCAUUGGUGUAUAAUAAUUUUGCCUGUUCUCAAACUUCUGCACAUGUCUCAGGUUCGAAAAAAUUGUUUAAAAGAUGAGUGGAUGGUAAAUUUUAUAACAAUGCUUGAUUGAGCAUCAAUUUUCAACCAACAGGAGACCUCAUCUUCAACAACACUGGAUGGGUAAGAUGAUCAACAUAACGAUUUAAAGAAAUAGGUGAAAUAUAUUUAUGACAUAAUUUACAAAUGUGAUUACAGUCUCUAUUUAUAGAUUAUUUACAACCUAAUUAAGUAAAGAAAUAAUAGGUAAUGAAAGCCAUAAAUAAUGGGUAAUUAAAGUUGUACAAAUCAAAUCAAAUCACUAACAAAUAUGUCCUAAUAAAUAGAGAAUGGAAUCUGCACUUAAUUACGAAAUCAUUCUUCUGAUUAUGCAACACUCCCCCUCAAACUGGUGAAUGUUUAUCUAUCAUUCCCAGCUUGCAAGUAAGAUCUUCAACCUGUUUUGUGGGAAGUCCCUUAGUAAAUAUAUCUACCAAUUGGAGUCUUGAAGGGAUGUACUCAGUGGCUAUAAGACCAUUAUCCAACUUCUCCUUAAUAAAGUGUCGGUCUAUCUCUACGUGCUUUGUUCGAUCAUGUUGAACUAGAUUGUGUGCAAUACUGAUAACGGACUUAUUAUCACACGCCAAACUCAUAGAAGCUUCAUAUUUUAUUUUGAGGUCAUCAAGUAUGAUCUUCAUCCACAAUAGUUCACACACCCCUUGAGCCAUGACUCUAAAUUCUGCCUCUGCACUUGAUCUUGCAACUACAUUUUGCUUCUUGCUCCUCCAUGUCACCAGAUUUCCACCCAAGAAAAUGCAGUAGCCUGUAGUGGAUCUCCUAUCAACGAUCAAUCCUGCAUAGUCAGCAUUAGUAUAUACUUUCAUGGAUAACUUUUCCCCCUUUUUGAAUAGCAAUCCUUUUUCUGGAGAGGCUUUUAAGUACUAAAUAAUUCUAUUUAUUGUCUGCAAGUGUCUUUCUCUUGGAUCAUGCAUAAAUUGGCUAAUCACACUAACUGCAUAGGCUAUGUCUGGCCUAGUGUGUGAUAGAUAAAGGAGUUUUCCCACAAGUCUUUGAUAUUGUGUCUUCUCCACUUUUGGGAUUUCCUCAUCAUUCCCAAUAGUUGAAAGAAAUAGAUGAAAUAUAUUUCUGAGAUGAUUUACAAAUGUGAUUACAGUCUCAAUUUAUAAACUGUUUACAACCUAAUUAAGGAAAAAAAUAAUAGAUAAUGAAAGCAAGAAAUAAUGGUUGUAUAAAUCAAAUCAAAUCACUAACAAAUCUAUCCUAAUAAGUAGAGAAUGAAAUCUGCACUUAAUUACAGAACAUUUCUCCUGAUAAUGCAACACUCCCCCCUCAAGUUGGUGAAUGUGUAUCUAUCAUUCCCAACUUGCAAGUAAGAUCUUUGAAUUGUUUUGUAGGAAGUCCCUUAGUAAACAUAUCUACCAAUUGGAGUGUUGAAGGGAUGUACUCGAUGGCUAUAAGACCAUUAUUCAGCUUCUCCUUAAUGAAAUGUCGGUCUAUCUCUACGUGCUUUAUUCGGUCAUGUUGAAUUGGAUUGUGUGCAAUACUGAUGGCAGACUUACUAUCACACACAAACCCAUAGGAGCUUCAUAUUUUAUUUUGAGAUCAUCGAGGAUGAUCUUCAUCCAUAAUAGUUCACACACACCUUCAGCCAUGGCUCUAAAUUCUUCUUCUACACUUUAUCUUGCAACUACAUUUUGUUUUUUGCUCCUCCAUGUCACCAAAUUUCCACCCAGGAACAUGCAAUAGCCUGUGGUGGAUCUCCUAUCAACAAUUGAUCGUGCAUAGUUAGCAUCAGUAUAUAUUUUCAUAUAGCAAUUUUUUCCCUGAAGAGGCUUUUAAGUACUGAAUAAUUCUAUUUACUGCUUGCAAGUAUUUUUCUCUUGGAUCAUUUAUGAAUUGGCUCCCCACACUAACUGCAUGAGUUAUGUCUGGCCUAGUGUGUGAUAGAUAAAUGAGUUUUCCCACAAGUCUUUGAUAUUGUGUCUUCUCCACCUUUGGAUUUUCGUCAUCAUUCUCAAUCCUAUGAUUAUGCUCUAUUGGCACUUCUGUGGUCUUGCAACCCACCUUAGCAGUCUCUUUGAGGAGAUCAAGGAUGUAUUUUCUUUGAGAAAUAAAGAUGCUCGGUCUAUAGUAAGCAACCUCUAUCCUAAGUGUUGCAUAAUCAGGAGAAUUAUGCUAUAAUUAAGUGUAGAUUCCAUUCUAUAUUUAUUAGGACAAAUUUGUUAGUGAUUUUAUUUUAUUUGAUUUGUACAGCUUUAAACACCCAUUAUUUUUUGCUUUCAUUACCUAUUAUUUCUUUCCUUAAUUAGGUUGUAAAACAGUUUAUAAAUAGAGACUAUAAUCACAUUUGUAAUACACAUCAAAAAUACAUUCCAUCUAUUUCUUUCAACUUGGUGUCUAAGAGACUCUGUUUCUGCAAUCUUUUGGCAGCCUUCAUUGCUACAAAUACUUUUCCGAACAACCUUCAUUGUUGUAACUUUUCUUCUCCUCCGUUGAUCACUACCAUCGUCGACCGCCGACCAUCGCCGACCGCCGUUGACCGCUGCUGCCAGAAAAUUUUACCAGCAUUUUUUUUCCCAAACAAAAUCACCACCAGUUUUUCCUUGCAAAGCCCAAUUGGUUUUGUCUUAUUUCUGUCAACUCUUACCAAUGUCGACUAACAAUACAAGCUCUCUUAGCUCCAAUGAUUUGCCGAUGUUGCAAAGCAGCUAUCGUCUCGAUGGAAACAACUACCUGCAAUGGGCCUAGUUGGUUCAUGCUACUCUCAAAGGAAGGAAGAAAUUGAAUCACCUAGAAGGGAACCCUUAAGCCAAAACCGAUUCUAAAUAUGAAGACUGGGAUGAUGAAAACUCUUUUAUCAUGACCUGGUUAUGGAAUUCUGACACCAGAGAUUAGCCGAAAUUGUAUGUUCUUCUCCACUGCUAAUGAGAUUUGGGAAAACCUUUGUCAAACAUACUCUAUGAAAAAAAUACUACAACAUGGUACGAGAUAGAAAACAAGAUCUUUCAUACCAGUCAAGGGAGCCUUUCAGUAACAAACUACUAUGGUAUGUUGAAUGGUUUAUGGAUCGAAUUAGAUCAAUAUCAAAAUUUGAGAAAUAAAGAUGCCCUGUCUCGAGUAAGCAACCUCCAUCCCAAGGAAGUACUUCAGCUUCUCAAGAUCCUUCAUCUCAAAUUGAGCAGCCAGUCUCUCCUUCAAAGUUUGUUUUUCAAUCUCAUCAUCACCUAUAAUAAUCAUAUCAUCUAUAUAGAGCAAAAGUAAAGUGAGUUUACCAUUUUGAGAAUGUUUUAUAAACAGAGUAUGGUCACCUUGGCUUUGUCGGUACCCCAAAGAUACCAUAGCUUGAGUAAACCUUCCAAACCAAGCACGAGCUGAUUGUUUAAAACCAUAUAGGGUCUUCUUAACUCUGCACACCUUAUUCCCUUCAUUAAUAGCACCAUAACCAGGUGGAAUCUCCAUGUAUACUUCUUCCUCCAAGCUUCCAUGCAAGAAGGCAUUUUUAACAUCAAAUUGAUGCAUCGCCCAACCAAAGUGUGCUGCCAAGGAGAGAAUAAUCCUGACUGUAUUCAUUUUUGCCACUAGAGCAAAAGUCUCCUCAUAAUCAAUCUUUUAGGUUUGAGUAUACCCUUUUGCAACCAACCUUGCUUUAUACCGAUCCAGUGUGUCAUUAGACUUAUACUUAACUGUGUAUAUCCACUGACAACCCACUGCCUUCUUAACUUUUGGUCUCUCUACAAUCUCCCAAUUCUCAUUUCUUUCUAAUGCGCUCAUUUUUUCAUUCAUGGCUCGAACCCAGUUUUCAUCUUUUAAGGCUUCUUGUAUUGAUGUAGGGAUUCUGAAAGAAUCAAUAGCUGAAAGAAAACUUCGGUGCGGCAUAGAAAGUCUUUAUGUGGACACAAAUUGGGAUAUAGGAUAUUUGGCACAAGAUCUUUGUUCUUUUCUCAAGGCAAUAGGUAAAUCAUUUAGGUUAGGUUCAAAAGAAGUAUUUAAGAUGUCCUCAAGAGUCACAUGGGUAUGAGUUCUUACCUCCGAUUCAGACAAUUGAAGUUGUUGUUCGUCUAGGACGGGUUCUUAUUGCCUUCGCUGAUAUUGUUUUCCAAAAUAUUUGUCCUCAUUAUUCUUCUCUGAUAAUGAUAUUGGUGCAGGGUCUUUGUCAUCCUCCUUAAGAAUGAAAUCCUGCAACAAAGGAAAAGGUGACAACUCAAGAACCUCAGCUUCUCGAAUACUCUUUCCCCUUAAAGCUAAGAACUAGGAAAGAAAGACUCUGUUUCAUGAAAGUGACAUCUUUGGAAACAUAGACUUUACGACUUUGAGGGUGAUAACAUUUGUAACCCUUUUUGUUGGGGGCAUAACCGAUGAAGACACAUUUGAUGGCGUGAGGAUCUAACUUACCCCGAUAAGGAUUAUGAACAUGGACAAAAGCAGGACAACCAAAGACACGAGUUUGAAGAGUAGUCAACAUGGGAAUUGAAGGAUAGAAUGUGGUCAUAAGCUGAAUAGAAGUAACACCCUUUAGAACCCGAGAGGGAAACCUAUUAAUCAAAUAAAAGGCAGUCAGGACUACUUCCCCCAGUAAGAUUUAGGAACAGACAUUUGAAAAAGUAAAGCUCUAGUAACCUUAAGGAGAUGACGAUUUUUCCUUUCAGCAACCCCAUUUUGUUGAGGAGUGUCCAGACAAGUUAAUUCAUGAACAACUCCAUUUUCCUGAAGGAACUUGGAAAAGUUUUGGUUCACAUAUUCUCUUCCAUUAUCAUAACGCAAUCUCUUAAUUGGAUUUUGAAAUUGUGUUUGAAUCAUUCUGUAAAAGUUUACAAACAAGUGAAAAACUUCAGACUUAUCUUUCAUGAGGAAUAUCCAAGUAACCCGAGUACAAUCAUCAAUAAAUGAAACAAACCAUUUUGCACCCGAGAUAUUGGGAAUAGGUGAAGGUCCCCAUACUUAUAAAUGAAUAAGAUCAAAAGGUUUAGAACUUUUAUUACCAUUGGGAAGAAAAGUUGUCCGAUGGUGUUUAGCAAACUGACAAACAUCACAAUGAAAAGACUCAACAGACACUUUUGUAAAUAAAACAGGAAAUAAGGACUUUAGGGUACUAAAUGGAGGAUGACCAAGACGUCUGUGUUGAAGUCAUAUCUAAGAGGAUGACCAAGAUUCAAGGCCUUGCUCAAGAUUAGAAGUGUGUGCCUAUAGUCUAGCACACUUUUUAUUUUCCUCAUGUUGUAAAUAAUAUAACCCGCACUGUUUUUUAGCAAUUCCAAUAGUCUUACCCAUGGCAAGAUCCUGAAAAACACAAUGGAAAUGAAAACAUACCACUACACAAUUUAAAUCUUGGGUAACCUUUUGAAUAGACAAGAGGUUAUUGGAUAGUUUAGGAACAUGAAGCACAUUUUUUAAAGGAAAGGAAGGUUGAAGGUAGAUGUUACCACGACCAAUAAUGGGGUAUUGGAACCAUUAGCAAUAGUAAUGUACUGAUUACUAGAUAAAGCAGUGUAGGAUGAAAAAUAAGAGCAAUGAGGUGUCAUAUGAUCAGUAGCACCAGAGUCUAUAAUCCAGAUAUUUUCAAUACUAGAAGCAUUACAGGAUAAGAAACUAAUACACUUACCACUCAUAGUUAAGGAACCAUAGCUAGAUGUCUUACUAAGGCAGUCCAUGAGAGCUCAAAACCAACUGAGCUUUGCAGAUUGGAAAAAUUUGGUCCUGUCCCCAAAAAAAAGUUCGCGAAAAUUUUUUCUGGUGGCGGUUUUCGGCGAUCAAUGGUCUGCAGGGUCGACGUUGGCGGUCAAUGGCGGUGGCAGUGACGAUCAAUGGUGCAAGGUGGUGGUUAAUGGAGAAAAGAGAAGGAAAAAAAGAAACAACAGUUGCAGCAAUUAAGGUUGUCCAGAAAAAUAAUUGCAACAAUGAAGACUGCCCAGAAAAAUAAUUACAACAAUGAAGGCUGCUAAUAAAAGAUUGCAGAAGUAGAGUCUUCCAGAUCAGGAGCUCUGAUACCAAUUUGAAAGAAAUAGGUGAAAUAUAUUUCUGACAUAAUUUACAAAUGUGAUUACAGUCUCUAUUUAUAGACGGUUUACAACCUAAUUAAGGAAAGAAAUAAUAGGUAAUGAAAGCUAGAAUUAAUGGGUGAUUAAAGUUGUACAAAUUAAAUCAAAUCAAAUCACUAACAAAUUUGUCCUAAUAAAUAGAGAAUGGAAUGUGCACUUAAUUACGGAAUCAUUCUCCUGAUUAUGCAACAAUAACCUUGACUCUUAAUAUCUGAGGCCCAAGUAUCAUAAUUGGUUACAUCCAAUUUGUCAAUGGAGAGAUGAACAUUGACAUAAUUAGUAUAUAUAGACGGAUCAGGCAUAGUGGCAGCGGAAGAAGCUAUACAUGACAAGGACAAGUCCAGUCACCGACCAAUUGGCGGCAACAACGACGACGACUCCGGCGAGACUCCAGUGGCAGCUUUGGCAAACUCUGACGGUGACUCUGGUGGCAGCUCUGAUGGUGACUUCGGUGGCAGCUCCAAUGAAGACUCCGGCGUCAAGGAGGCGGUGGGACGACGGCUGGAAAAUACCAAUGAACAGUGGGUUCACCAAAAAAAAUUGAAUCUUUAACCUAUGCUCUAGAUACCAUAUUAAAAUAAAAUAUAAGAAUAAUAUAAAUACCUUGUGUAUAUAGAACACAUAGGCUUAUGUUUAUAUAAUAAAAAAAAACAUAUGGACUAAACCCAUUACAUAAAUAGAAAUAUCUAACAAUAUCUAUAAUAUCUAAUAAUAUCUAACCAAAAUUCCUCCUUGAUAAGAGAAAAUUUUGGCCUCAUGAUAUUUAUUGUUAUGAGCUGCAUCGGUAAACACCUAAAAACAUUGAGACAAUGCCACUUGGAGCCCCCAUCAAAUUCCAUGAAAGUAUUGGCAUCAUAAACAUUCUAAGUAGAAAUAUCAAUCACUUCGGCUACUGCUGACGAGAUCUUGCACACUGCUUUUACACCUUUUUGGUUAGUAAUGCAUGUUAGCAAAGAAUAACAUGUAUUACAAGCCAACACAACAAAUUGAGAAAAAUAGAAGUGUAUAUAAAAGAAUUAUCUCUUGUGAAUAGCAGCGGAUUCUUCAAAGUAAUUUACAUUAAUAAAUGCUGUCUUCUUUUAUGGUUUACACUCACAAAGAAGUUAUUCAACAACCACCAAUAAGCACUUAAGCCUUUUCAGACUAGGUGGUGCCAGUGUAUUAAUAGCUAACUAGCAUCUAACAAAAAACAAAGUUAACUAACUACCAACUGAUGCAGUUGUUCAAUACUAGUGUAAUACAGUGAAAUAGAUCAAACAAUGUUGUCGUGAAUUAUAUUCAUACAACACAAACCAUUGACCUCUAAAUCCUUCUUAAUGGUUUCACCUGUUGUAUGUAUCACUGUAGUCAAGAAAAAACCACAAACAAAUUAUUUAAGGAUGUAACCAAUGGGACUAUUGCACGGGAAUGGGUAGAAUUAGCAAAAUAAAACAAUGCAUAACAUCAAAUGGAAAAUUGUGAUACCAAAGCCAAACAUUGGUAAUGAGCUGUAGACAUCUGUGACCUACACAUGCAAAAUCUAAAACAUAAAUGAUCUCAUUAAAAAGUGAACCAAUCUGCAGAAUGGAAAUAUAAUUUUAUUUUUUAUUUUCAGUAUCUAGCAAGAUUUGAAAAGUAUAAAAUAAAUCUAGUACGUAUGGUUUUAUUAGCAAUAGAGUGUCUUGUUUAAUAAAAUAAAACAUAUUAAUAAAAAAGAAAAUAACUACCGAAAGGAAGAUUUGAAUGCUAAAGAACCACAAUUUAUUGAAAAUGGUUUAUAUUAGAGCGAUUAUGUGGACAGGUGAAAAGACAAAAGGGACACAAUAUAAGGUCUAACUCAGAAAAGUGGCUGAACAAUAUUUGUUCAUGUGCGACAAUUAUGUAUUACUCUAUUUUUACAAGUGUAUUACUAAUGUUAGUCUUGGUUAGUGGUCAGUAGAGCAGUCACUAUGAUAGCUGUAUAUGUAUGCUCUAUAUAAGAGCUUCUUGUAACAGAUUGCAACUACUUCCAAUAAUAACAUAUUCAGUUUACUCUCUUUUUUUCCUCAAAAUUAUGUUUCAAUUCUAUUAGAGCUAGACUAUCUAAAAGACUCAAAAUCUUCCUCCUUCCCCUUCCGCUACUGCCUAUGUGAAUAUUUCUGAGAAGCUCAAUGAUUCGAACUGUUCUGCUAUGGCAACAACAUGUGGGAUUGUGCAUCAAAUUACACUGAUUGCAGCAUUGUGUAGUUGAAUCCUAUUAUUCCGCUUUGAUUUCUCAUCAAAGCUGAUUACGAUUCUGGAAAGUACUUAUCCAGCCUUCAUUCCUCUCAAGAAUGGGAUAAGAUCCAUGAAUAUUUUCAGACAAACAAGAACAGGAGUGAGGCAGCACGCAUUGAGCUCCAAUCGAAGGUUCUUGAAGAUUGAUCUGUCAGACUUUUUUCGCAUCAAAGCCCUUGUUGAUUGCCUGGCUUCUAUUCACAAUCCGUAGUUUGCUUCAAGAACAGAUGGAUGUUGUUCUAGAAGGACUACUACAAGAGUAUUAAAAUCAAUUAUUAUCCAACACGUUUUCACAACUGUGAUUGCAAUCCAAGGUUUAAAAUCAUGAACUGUAGAUCACCUGACACGGACAUAAUAUCUUAAUUGUGGCCACCACUGCCAUUGCAUUUUUGCAUUUAACAGCCACAAUCAUGACAGAAACUGAGAUUUAAAAUCCCGCAAAGACAUAAAUCUCUAUUUAUUCUUAAACUAUGACCAUGCAAAGACAACUACACCCUCUACUCAUUAUGUACUGAAGUGGCCACUUACAUAACCAAGAUGACGAAAAUCAUUAUACAAACCGAGCCUGUUCAAUAUAUAACAUCCAACUAAACUACAUUUCAGCUGAGAUAGUUAAUGAGCAGUGACUAUUUCAAAGGAGCCUAUUCAAGUGAUAUAUCGAGAGAUGAGUAGCUGGGUUCAAAACAAAAAUUAAAAGAAGGAUUUAGAGUAUGUGAAGUUAUGAACCAUAGGAAUCCAAAGACCAAAACAUUUUAACAUCUUACUCAUAUUCUUCUUAAAACAAAACUUGAGAAAUGCCUCCCAACACAAGAUAAGCAAGGGGGAAAACAAAAAACAGACCUACUCAAGGUGAAUUUCUGGAAGCUUACAUGAACUAGAUUAAUCUAAUAUUCAGCGUCCAGUCAUUCUGAGAGGCAUCAUAUGUAUUUUUUUAACCAUUCUUUGCCAAGGAGAAUAUUUUCAUCAGGAAAAUGUCAUGAUCACUUAAGUCUUCUGGUUUUAAGAUUAACCUUAAUGCCAACAGGCACUUGAGACAAAGAAAUAAUCAUUAUCCGUGGACAAACCAUCUUGUUAAAUGUGCUACCAGGCAUAGGCAGUGAAGAAAUUCUUAAACAUGCAAGCCAUUUAGCAAUAAGCCAGUAUUGGAUACUGAAUCACCAAGACCAUCAGAGUCCAUCUUCAAUAACCAGAGAAAAAGUACAUAAUAAAAAAACACAAGGCUAGUUGGAUACGUUCUUAGUGUAUUAUUGAAAUUCCGAAAUGGAUGCAAGAACAGGAAAAGGGUCACAACUCAGUAUGAGUCAUACCCUACACUCACUAACAGAAUUCAGACAGAGACAAGAAGGACAGGUAGAGAAAGAAUUCAGUACAGAAAGGUUACACACCGAUUUCCCCCUUUUUUUCCAUCUCCAUGAUCCUUAAAUCAUGUAAUCUUCACGUAGUCACCCCACUUUCUAUUAGGCACCUUCUCUCUCUCUCUCUCUCAGUCUUAUGUGUGUCUCUUAUUUUUUUAUCCUGUGCCAUGUGUCUCAUGCCUCGAACCGACUCAGAUUUUUUCCCUUUGCUGCUUGGUCCUUCAGUAACCUUUUUUUUUUAUAUUUGAGUCCCUUACAAUUCCCCCUCCAUUGACACUAACCUUGUCCUCAAGGUUGAAAUUGGGAUAAUGCUUCUGUAUCACUGCGACCUCCCUCUUCCUAAGUUGCUACCAUUUCAAGCAUGCCUUCCCACUAAAGCAAUACCUGCGGUAUCUGCUGUCUAUUUUUUAUCAUAAUUACCAAUUUACCACAGUCCAACACUUUUAUUGGCUGAAGUAAUGGACCUUUUUCAUUAGUCAAUAGCGAAAUUGGCAUAUAAGGUUGUGAUGCAUCUCCCUUAAAUGAUUUAAGGACUGAUACAUGGAACACAGGGUGGAUCAUUGCACAAGUAGGUAGUUUGAGUUUUAUAAGUCAUCAUCAUUAUUCUCUUCUUAUCGACUUGUAUCUUCAUAUGUAGUUGAGCUCUUUCUAGAUUUUUCUUCAACUAAUCCAAUGGAACAUUUCUCUAUUGCAAUAGCUCCUUGAUUGAAAGAGGAUCUGAAUCAUUAACGUUGCUAUUGUUGCAAGAUUUGUAAGACUGUCUCUAAGUGUUGUAGAUGUGUGUAUCAACAUGGACUGUAAACCAAGAUAUCAUAAAGAAAAACAAUAAUGAUUUUCACAACUGUUGUUGAAAGAUCUUAUUCAUGAGGCUCUGAUAGGUUGUUGAGGCAUUAGUCAACCCAAAAGUCAUGACUAGCCAUUCGUAAUGUUCUUGGUGUGUCCUAAAGGUUGUUUUCAUCCUAUAUUCAGGCCUCAUCAGAAUUUGGUGAUAGCCAGACCUCAAAUCCAGCUUGGAGAAAUAUUGAUCCCCAUAUAAUUCAUCUAGCAAUUCAUCCACAGUCGGCAUUGGAAAAGCAUCUUUUAUUGAUACCGCAUCUAAAGGCUCUAUAAUCUGUGCAGAACCUCCAACUCCCAUCUUUUUUUUUCUUAACCAAGACAACAGGAGAAGGAAAUGAAUUGUUGUUUGGUUGUAUGAGGCCUUUUUUCAACAUCUUUUGUAUCAUCUUUUCAAUUUGAUUCUUGUGGAUGUGCGGGUAUCUAUACAGUCUUACUUUCACUGGGUCAACUCCAUGAACCAAAUUAAUCGCAUGAUUUUGAUCACUUUUUGGUGGCAACCCAGUAGGAGUAUCAAAAACCUUUCUAUACGUAUGCAGUAAUUGAGUCAACUUAGGUUCCACAUCACUCGGAAUUCCCUACAAUUGGUCCUUGAGAUUUUCAGUCGGUUGACAUUGCAACAGGGAGGAUUGUUCAGUGGAAUUAGUGUUUUGCAACCUUCUCAAAUGAUGAAAUUCAACUUGUAUCAUGUAAUUAGAUUUUUUUCCUUGUGAUGUGACAAAAUGGCCAUCCACAUAGAGCUUUAGGGUGCUGAAAUCUGCCACAUGUGGUCCCAACGUUGCCAACCAAGAAGCUCCAAUACUAAAUCUACUCCAGUUAUAGGCAAUAGGAAAGUUGAUAAAUACAAGACAUGGUUUUGUAUUUUCACCUGUAUGUUUCUUACACACCCUUCCGCAGUCAUUGUACUGCAAUUCCCCACCAAAACUUUGAACUGAGGGGUCAGCUCAAUUGGUAACUUCAGAAAAUUAACAAUUUGUGGUUGAAUAAAAUUGACUAAUGAAUACAAUACACACCCUACAUUUGUCCUUGAAAUUUCAAGGUGCCCAAACCAUUAGCUCUUUUUAAAGCAUUGUAAGAGAGAUAAUGCUCUGUCUCCAAUAUUUCUACAUAGGGAGGAGGGUCUGGAUCUAUUGUUUGCUUCUCGAAUUCAUGAACUUGCAGCAAAAACAUGUGUUUAUUUGGGCAUCUAUGGUUUGGGGUGAACUUCUCAUCACUUGUGUAACAUAAAUUCUUUUCUCUUCUAAUUUGCAUAUCUGUUGGAGUCAUUCUCUUCACAUUGCUAGCGUUCACCACUUGAGAAAGAGGUCUAAUGUUUGGUGUAUGGAGGAAUGGGGAAGGUUGGUGUUUUUGUUUUGAUGUGAUGGUAUAUUUGAGUGGAACCUAUUGGCUAAAUAUAGAAGGGUUUUUAUUAGUAUAUUUUUCCUCAUACAAUCUAGCUAGGGCCACACCUUUUGGAAUGAAUUAUGGGCCCUGAGCAAUCACGUCCCUUUGGAUUUCUGGUUUUUACCCACUCAAAAAAACAAACCAACAGUGCAUCAGUUGACAAGCAUGUAACUCGGUUUGAUAAAGCUAUGAAUGAAUGGUACAACUCACUCACCGAUCCAGUUUGGGACAACUUGAACAAAGUAGAGAAAAAUCAAUGAAAGCACCAACGUAAUAACCAGAGAAAAAUCACCAAAAAAAACACAAGGCUAGUUGGAUACAUUCUCAGUGUAUUAUUCAAAUUCCGAAAUGGAUACAAGGACAAGGAAAAGGGUCGCAACUGAGUAUGAGUCAUACCUUACACUCACUAAUGGAAUUCAGACGGAGACAAGAAAGACAUAUAGAAAGAGAAUUCAGUACAGAAAGGUUACACCCUGAUUUCCCUCUUUUUUCCCACCUCCAUGAUCCUUAAAUCAUGUAAUCUUAACAUAGUCACCUCACUUUCCGUUAAGCACCUUCUCUCUCUCAAUCUUACGUGUGUCCCUUCUUUUUUGAUCCUGUGCCAUGUGUCACAUGCCUCCAAUUGACGCCGAUUCUUCCCCUUUGUUGCUUGAUCCUUAAAUAACUUCUUUCUUUAUAUUUGAGUCCCUCACACCAUCCUAUCUAGGGCUUACUAGCAAAACCUCCUAACCAAGUGGAUCCUAUAUCAACUACUAUGACCAAAUUAUAUUAUAUAAGCAUAUACACAAUCACUUUAAAAGUUCCUUAAAAUUCACUUACUAAGAGAUCCCUUUUUAAAUCUAGAGCCCGUCACCAAAUCCCCCUAUUAGCACCUUGAACUUCUUAAGACACCGUAUUAGUGAUUUUUGUCAAUGUCAUCUUUCUUAAAAGAAAAAACAAAACAUUCAUGUGUGUAAAUAAUUAGUAUCUCGUAAUGAUUUCACAAACAUCAUCAGCAACAACAAUAAAGGCGCCUUUUCUCUAUUACUCUCACCACUCAAACACAAUUCCUGUGUUCUCGUUCUCUAGCAAAGUCAGCAACUUUUGGGGCCAAAGACGCCACAUUGUCAAUCAACAAAAAAGAAAGCCAACCAAACCAUUGAACAAACUCAGUCCAAAAAGGACAGACAACAAAAACAAUCAAAUUUACAACUUCACUACAAAAUUUCACAAACCCAUAUUUUAAACAAUAAAAUAAAAUUACCAUGGCGGGCUUUCCAGCAACAAGUGAAGCACAUUGUGCACCACCCCAUCAAUGAAAGGGGGUUUGAAUGUGUAGAGCUCCAAUGUCAAUGUGCAGAGGAAAAGGGCAAUAGAAUUUUUCCCGCCAAAGCUUCACAGCGGAUGAACUUGGGAAAACCCGAAACAGCAUUUGCUUCGUUCUGCA
rnacentral:lncRNA from 1 species